CGAUUGAACGCUGGCGGCAUGCCUUACACAUGCAAGUCGAACGGUAACAGGUCUUCGGAUGCUGACGAGUGGCGAACGGGUGAGUAAUACAUCGGAACGUGCCCGAUCGUGGGGGAUAACGAAGCGAAAGCUUUGCUAAUACCGCAUACGAUCUACGGAUGAAAGCGGGGGAUCUUCGGACCUCGCGCGGACGGAGCGGCCGAUGGCAGAUUAGGUAGUUGGUGGGAUAAAAGCUCACCAAGCCGACGAUCUGUAGCUGGUCUGAGAGGAUGAUCAGCCACACUGGGACUGAGACACGGCCCAGACUCCUACGGGAGGCAGCAGUGGGGAAUUUUGGACAAUGGGGGCAACCCUGAUCCAGCCAUGCCGCGUGCAGGAUGAAGGCCUUCGGGUUGUAAACUGCUUUUGUACGGAACGAAAAGACUCUUUCUAAUAAAGGGGGUCCAUGACGGUACCGUAAGAAUAAGCACCGGCUAACUACGUG
rnacentral:rRNA from 1 species